GUUUGCUUAAUGAUCUGCUCCAGAAUCUUCCCUGGUAUUGAUGUCAGACUGACUGAUUGGCUGAUGUUCGAUCCUCCUGAUUGUCUGAUGUUCGAAUCAUCUCCGAUUGGUUGCUGGGUCACCAGGAGGCUGGGCCAGGGUCCAUCCAUCACAGAAGGUGAUCAAUUCAUCAACAGCAAUUGUAACUGUCGGGGUCCCAUGGUCUCAGCGGGGCCUUGGGCCUUGAGGUGGCGUGAGCCACCCUUUUAAUUUUCCCACCAACUUACUCCAGUGCAUUGUGGGGAAUUUUAAGCGAGGGGGUGCAGCUAUCCACAUCUGGCCCUGAUCUGGGAGCAUGAGUUUGCCAUGUUCAUCACAUUGGUUGUGAAAGCUGCCCCCGUGAUAUUCCAAGACAGUGCAUUCAGCUCCUGAGAGUUUCGUUUCUCAUGCGCUACGGAGAGAGGGAGGCCUAUGGCCGCUGAGAAACGUUGCUUGGCGAGUUCCCGCGCCUCCCCCAGUGGAAAUAAAGACACAUGACACAAUUAUUAAGGUUAAUGAUCUAAAUAAGGCCACAACUUUAUUGGUUACAGGUGAUGAGUGGUAUUGGCUUAGGCAUUGGUCCUAAUCGACUAUAUCCGGCUUCAGCCCGUCUGCUUGAAGUCCGGGAAGGGUUAACCACCAGUAGGGGGUGUCCUGCUGAUGCACAUCAACUAGGAACCCCCCUGGGGUAACCGCUUGGGGGCGUGCCUUAGGCCCUCACCUCCAUAGGCUUCGGACAGGGCCACGCCCCCCAGAAUCCUUUACUGGACUGCCCUUCAAUAUGCGGGGCAGGUGAUGGUGCUUCCUCCCCUCUUCCAUCUACAGAACAAUACCAAUGCCUAACCGCCAAUACCCAGAAAAUUGUGACGAUUUGCUACCAGGUAGGCGAAAACCAAGUGGCUGGUGCCAGUUUACCAAGUGGAAAAAUUCCCACCAGGCCCUUCAACGGUGACCAACCAAGGUCCAUAGCAAGGUCAAGGAACAAAAACCUUAUAGGGCGGGAGGGUGGGAAACAGGAACAGCUGGUAGGCAGCAAAAGAGGGAGAUUCCUGGCCACGCCUUCCUUAAAUAGGACAGGCCACUCCCCCAGAGCCAGCCGAUUGGCUGGCCAGGGGGUGACACGGCUGGGGAUUCCCCCAAUCGCGCGGGGGAGGGGGCGUUACGCCCGCAACCCCUACCUCCUCUGCAGGGCGGAAGUGGCUUUUUAGGAAAUAGCAGUUGGGAUUCUGAGCCAAGUUUUCCUAUUUGUCCGCAUGGAGUAGUCAACCCUGCUGCUGUGUAACGAGGCACAACUGGAAUGAUCCGUGCCGAUAUUGAACACGGCUCGUUUUGAGCUCUUCCCGGCCGCUGGCUGGUGCACAUCUCUCAGGCGGGCAUGAAUUGAUCGUAUUGAUUGGGGAGUGUUUGGCGCCUGUAGCUGGUUCAGGUGCAACGAUCGAUUCCCUGCAUGUGUGUGUUUUACGACACACAAACCCUCCCGCUUAUGGCAGGAAGAGAUCAGCGGCUCUGACGUGGAGCAGCUGCCAGAGAGGCUUGCAAAGGAACCGUGUGUGUCUCGCUCCUGACAUUUGAAGGGGGGGGGGACCAAAUCCAUUUUAGAAAUUGAUUUAUGCUUUAAUCGGUCUCAGGGCUUCAUUAUGCUGUCCAUUAGCCCGACUGAUCCAGGGGCCUUAUGUGUUAAUGCGCUGAGCGAGCGCUUGAUGGGUUUGUCUUUCAUGUGUGACCCAAACAGCUCAGUGAUCCAUCUCCCCUGCCAUUGAUUUAUUAAUGAUGUCUUAGUUAUUGAAGGGGGGGCGCUUUUAUAGUGCCUUCCUGUCACAUGCGUCCCCUCGAGGAACCAUGGGUCGGGGGAAGCUUCCCCCCGUCUUCAAACCCCCAUUUCCAUUCCUCAUAAGGCGGAAGUAAAAACUCCCCCAAAAUAAGGAACAGAGAUUAAACGCAGCACAGAAAAAACCUCAAUGCGAUGUAACCUUAUUGCAAGCAGAAAGAAUGGAAUCCACAACUAAAUUUUUGCUCUCUUUGUGUGUCUUUCAGAGAAAAGAAAAAACACAGUGCACACACAAAAAGACACCGGGGGGAACUACUUGCAUGAACUAUAAAUUAAGCUAAGAGGGUGUUGUUGAUUUAUUAACUGCGGUGUCCUCCUCAUUGGGGGGGGGGUCUGCUUUUAUAAGGUCUUUCUGCCAUGUGUCUCCUAGAGGAAUGUGAAGAGGAGGAACCUCCAUUUUGUCAAACCUUCAUUUUCAUUCUGAAAGUAUCAUCUCACAGGAGGACUCUACAGUUCAUGGGCUGUUUUUGUUCUGGAGCGCAUGAGUCGCUCUCAGUUCCCCG